rnacentral:rRNA from 1 species
UAGAGUAAUGCGUGACCAACCUGCCCCAUGCUCCAGAAUAGCUCUUGGAAACGGGUGGUAAUGCUGGAUGCUCCAACUUGACGCAUGUCUUGUUGGGAAAGUGUUUAGUGGCAUGGGAUGGGGUCGCGUCCUAUCAGCUUGUAGGCGGGGUAAUGGCCCACCUAGGCUUCGACGGGUAGCCGGCCUGAGAGGGCGGACGGCCACAUUGGGACUGAGAUACGGCCCAGACUCCUACGGGAGGCAGCAGGC